rnacentral:rRNA from 1 species
CAACUGCGUUUGAAACUGCAUAUCUUGAGUACAACAGAGGGGAGCGGAAUUCCUGGUGUAGUGGUGAAAUACGUAGAUAUCAGGAAGAACAUCAGUGGCGAAGGCGGCUCUCUGGGUUGUAACUGACGCUGAGGUACGAAAGCUGGGGUAGCGAACGGGAUUAGAUACCCCGGUAGUCCCAGCUGUAAACGCUGGACACUAGGUGUUGGUGGUUCGAAUCCAUCAGUGCCGGAGUUAACGCAUUAAGUGUCCCGCCUGGGGAUUACGGUCGCAAGACUGAAACUCAAAGGAAUUGACGGGGGCCCGCACAAGCGGUGGAGCAUGUGGUUUAAUUCGAUGCAACGCGAAGAACCUUACCGAGGUUUGACAUCCCGUGACUACUUGUGAGAGCAAG